rnacentral:rRNA from 1 species
AGUGAACGCUGGCGGUAGGCCUAACACAUGCAAGUCGAACGGCAGCACAGUAAGAGCUUGCUCUUACGGGUGGCGAGUGGCGGACGGGUGAGGAAUACAUCGGAAUCUACUUUUUCGUGGGGGAUAACGUAGGGAAACUUACGCUAAUACCGCAUACGACCUACGGGUGAAAGCAGGGGAUCUUCCGACCUUGCGCGAUUGAAUGAGCCGAUGUCGGAUUAGCUAGUUGGCGGGGUAAAGGCCCACCAAGGCGACGAUCCGUAGCUGGUCUGAGAGGAUGAUCAGCCACACUGGAACUGAGACACGGUCCAGACUCCUACGGGAGGCAGCAGUGGGGAAUAUUGGACAACGGGCGCAAGCCUGAUCCAGCCAUACCGCGUGGGUGAAGAAGGCCUUCGGGUUGUAAAGCACUUUUGUUGGGAAAGAAAAGCAGCAGGUUAAUACCCCGCUGUUCUGACGGUACCAAAAGAAUAAGCACCGGCUAACUUCGUG